rnacentral:rRNA from 1 species
UCCGCCGUCUGCAGGCAAUGGCGGCGCCUCGCCACCGACCCCAAAUUCCUCCGCCGCUUCCGCGAGCACCACCGCAAGCCGCCGCUCCUCGGCGUCUUCGAGUGCCGCGACGAAGCCGUGGUCUUCACCUCCGUCCUCGACCCUCCCGACCGCAUCCGUCCCGAGCGCUUCGACCUGGGACGCUACAGCGGCCGCCGCGACUACACCUUGGCCUGCUGCCGCCACGGCCGCAUCCUCGUCUUAGACCAUGUGGACGGAUGCCUCGUCGUGUGCGCCCCCAUCACCGGCGAGCAGCGCCGCGUGGCCGUUCCGCCCGAGUUCAUGACGGGCCCCCUCAACGGGGAGGUGCUCUGCGCUACCGGCGACAUUGGCCACGUGCACGGAGAGUGCCACUCCGGCCCCUUCAAGGUGGUCCUGGUGUCCAUGAUCGGAGAGGAUUUUCGACCCAUCGCUUGUGUCUACUCCUCUGAGACCGGCUUAUGGGGCAGUCUCGUAUCAAGUCCAUGUUCACCUCCUUUCGGGUAUGGUAGAACUGGCAGACUUGUUGGCAACACACUUUACUGGUUGCUUUGGUCUGUUAUGCGGGAUAGCAUACUUGAGUUUGAUUUGGAAAAUUUGAGUCUGGUUUUGAUGGAUCAGCCACCCAUUGACGAUGAUUUUCGCCUUGCCGGCUGUCAGAUCAUCAAGGCUGAGGAUGACGCUCUUGGCUUUGCCUAUUUGUCUUACCCAAGCUUCCAAAUGUGGCAGAGGAAUUUCAAUGCUCAUGGUGUUGCCAUAUGGGUGCUGUGGAAGACCAUCGAAUUGCAUAGCAUUCUUGGGCUUCCUCCUCAUAUUCAGAGACCCACAGGGAAGAUGGGAGUUAUACUGAGCUAUGCUGAGGAUACUGAUGUAGUUUUUAUAUUUGUGGAUGCAAAUGUCUACAUGGUUCAACUUAAUCCAAUGCAAUCCAAGAAACUUCAUGAAACAAAGUGCAUCCUUGACAACUAUCCUUUCACAGGUUUCUAUACACCGGGUAAUUGCUCAUCUUAG